CAAUAUUUCUUCUAUAGGAUUGCAGUGACCAGACAUGCUACUGUAACUCUCAUGGUCAUGUGCUGGAAUUAGCAGAUAUUCAACAAUUUGGCCAUCUCGCUGACCUGUUGAUAUCAGAAGGUAACAAUAUCCAGUAUAAUUUGUUUUAGUUGUUCUGUAACCUAUUUAAAUAGUAUUGUGAUUUUUUGAUUGCUUAUCAUUGUAGACCGCAGCAGCUCUGCAAAGCAAGUUGCAAAACAGAAUCCAUGAAACUGGCAGUGACUGGAAACCAAUUGGAAGACUUUGGUCUGUGAUGUAGAGGAGUGGGCAGAGGCAGAAGCAAAGACAACAAAAAGAAGAAGUGAUAUGGAUGUCUUCGUCAUAUGGCAUGACUCUGCUGACCCAGCAACAAAGAGGAGGGUGUUCAACAUCAUCCUGCUAGUCAGGAUUCUUCAGGAGAAGCAGUGGAUUCUUGUGGCAGAGAUGGUCAACCACUAUAAAUACCUUUCAACUCAUCCUGGUUCUUUCAAAGAACUUUCUUGCUUGUUUGCUACUGAAAUGU
ensembl:processed_transcript